AUACCCAGUCUAUGGCAUACUACCUGAUCUCAUCUAACCUCAGAAGCUAGGAGGAAUAGUCCUGUUAAUACUUGAUGGGAGACCACUUGGAAAUGCCAUGUACAGGCUUUU
ensembl:rRNA 5S_rRNA 5S ribosomal RNA